UACAGAGGGUGCAAGCGUUGUUCGGAAUUAUUGGGCGUAAAGGGAGUGUAGGCGGUGAGUUAAGUCUUCUGUGAAAGCUGCGGGCUUAGCCUGCAAAGUGCAGAGGAAACUGGCUGACUUGAGUAUCGGAGAGGGCAGGGGAAUACCCAGUGUAGAGGUGAAAUUCGUAGAGAUUGGGUGGAACACCAGUGGCGAAGGCGCCUGCCUGGCUGAUGACUGACGCUGAGACUCGAAAGCAUGGGGAGCAAACAGG
rnacentral:rRNA from 1 species